ACCCCUCCCCUUCGUCACCGCUGCCGGCGGGCGCGGAGGCCCGCGAUGUGCUCCGCCCCUCCCCUUCGUCACCGAUGCCGGCGGGCGCGUAGUUCCUUGAUCUGCCCCGCCCCUUCGUCACCACUGCCGGCGGGCGCGCAGGCCCUUGAACUGCCCUGCCCCUUCGUCACCACUGCCGGCGGGGCGCGCAGGCCCUUGAACUGCCCCGCCCCUUCGUCACCACUGCCGGCGGGGCGCGCAGGCCCUUGAUCUGCCCCGCCCCUUCUUCAUAUAAGGUCGCCGAGGUGGCCGAGGAGGCGCUCAAGCUCGUCAUGCACGCCGGCGACGCCGGGGCCCUCCAUCCUCCUGACGCACUUGCCAUCGCCGACAUGAGCGUCUCCACCUUCUCCCGCGCGCCAUGAACUUCCCUUCCCCACUGCUCAGGACGCCAGCAAGGAGCAGGAGUUCCUUCCUUCCAUGGAUGACCACGAAGAGCUCUGCGUGCUGUGCUGCUGCUCGGGACCCUCCCUUCUCAUCGCUCGUCCGGGUCCAGAUACAGAAGGUUUAGUUCAGUGGCUGUGCUGGACAGGAGGGGCCAGGGAAUUGCUUUAAGUUGUUCCAAGAGAUGUGAGCCUGGUAAAAUGAUGACAUAGCAGAUUUCCACUGUGGUCUCCUUGCAGGACCACUCUCAGUGGUUGGCCCUCCUGUUCACUUACACAAAAACAGAAGGCAGAAGAUGAUAUUGGCCCUGCUGUUGAGCCGCAAACAUAGAAUGUUGCUUUGGCAGGUCAAAGGAAGAAGCAGGUCGAAGGAAGAAGUUUAGACUAAAGACAUGGUCAAAGGAAGAAGCAGGUCAAAGGAAGAAGUUUAGACUAAAGUGGAGAGAAGAAUUUUACAGCUGCGUGUAUCCGGCUGGCUGCGACGGGCAGGGCGGGCUGUACCAGUGGGGAUCUCCCGUAGGGAUGCCACGCUGCGAGGGCAGGAUCCUGGGCGUUCCCUGGCGUUGCUGCCAUGGCGACCUUGCUGGAAGUUCUGUGGCGUCGCUGCCCUGGCGACCUCGGGGAAGGAAGCGACGCUGCUCGCGGACGGUCUCCACGUUGGUCAGCAACAAUGGCGAUGACGUUGGCGAUGGUGCGACGCGUGAUUGUAGGGGGUGGAUGGGGGGUGCUGGAGGUGGAGCACGGUCAGUCAAGGGUAUUUCCUAAGUCCACACCGUACAGGCAGCAAAUGAAUGAUGGCUGUUAGAUUUAGAUGUGCGGGUAUAAUUGUGUGGUGUUGAUUGUUUCGUGCGUUUUGUGGGACAAGUUGCCGGGUGUACUUAGCGAAGUUCUUGUUUGCU